rnacentral:rRNA from 1 species
AUUGAACGCUGGCGGCAGGCUUAACACAUGCAAGUCGAGCGGGGGAAGGUAGCUUGCUACCGGACCUAGCGGCGGACGGGUGAGUAAUGCUUAGGAAUCUGCCUAUUAGUGGGGGACAACAUCUCGAAAGGGAUGCUAAUACCGCAUACGUCCUACGGGAGAAAGCAGGGGAUCUUCGGACCUUGCGCUAAUAGAUGAGCCUAAGUCGGAGUAGCUAGUUGGUGGGGUAAAGGCCUACCAAGGCGACGAUCUGUAGAGGGUCUGAGAGGAUGAUCCGCCACACUGGGACUGAGACACGGCCCAGACUCCUACGGGAGGCAGCAGUGGGGAAUAUUGGACAAUGGGGGGAACCCUGAUCCAGCCAUGCCGCGUGUGUGAAGAAGGCCUUAUGGUUGUAAAGCACUUUAAGCGAGGAGGAGGCUACUUUAGUUAAUACCUAGAGAUAGUGGACGUUACUCGCAGAAUAAGCACCGGCUAACUCUGUGCCAGCAGCCGCGGUAA